UACGUAGGGCGCAAGCGUUGUCCGGAAUUAUUGGGCGUAAAGAGCUCGUAGGCGGCCUGUUGCGUCCGCUGUGAAAUCCCGGGGCUCAACCCCGGGCCUGCAGUGGAUACGGGCUGGCUAGAGGCAGGCAGGGGAGAACGGAAUUCCUGGUGUAGCGGUGAAAUGCGCAGAUAUCAGGAGGAACACCAAUAGCGAAGGCAGCUCGCUGGGACGGUACUGACGCUGAGGCGCGAAAGCGUGGGGAGCGAACAGG
rnacentral:rRNA from 1 species